UGAUAAGGCACAUAUUAGGGUUUCCAUACCCUUUGCCAUCUUGACAGUUUCUUCUGCCUCAUUCUUUGAUCUUGUUCUGCUGCUCCAUGAUUCUGAACAUUAGAAGGGCCGUUGUGCAUGAUUCCCACGUGGCACAAAGCUCACCCUUUUGUCUGCAAUUCUUGUUUGCUCAUUCAUUGCCAGUUCCAGAAAGUCUAAGUUAUUUUUUAUUUUGCAGGUAUUUCCUGGGAUGUAUGGUGAUGCACUUAAUGAUUGUUUUUGUGGAGUUUCUCCUGGCUGUGGAUCAAAGAUCUCUGCAAUUCGCUUCAGGUCAGAGGCAAUCUAACUUCCUUAGAGUAUUCAUCAGUUCUGGGAAAUCCAACAAUGCAUGUUGGAUGUUCAUUAUGAAGAAAGCAAAACAGCAGUUUCUAUAAAUCACACUGUAGUUCACACUCAAGUGAGACUACAUAUGGCAAAGGAGGAGAGCAGCCCCAGCCAUCUGUCUGAGAAUGGUUUUGUGCAAGGCCAAGUUCUUGUGAAGACAAAAGAAAACUUUGGGGAGUCAUGUUUUCCUGGAAGAGAGCUGUGCACUCCUUUUUACACUUUGCUGAAGCUGGUCGUAGCCUCCGGAAAGCCUAAUCUACGUUCUUUACUGUUAUCCUGGGUACCUGCUGCUCUCCAACAAUGUGACUCAAGAACUUUUCUUUUUGCACAACAGAUUGGCCCUUUUCAUUGAUUGGCAGCCUUCUUCCUUCUCAUCUCUUCAGACUACACAUAGUAAUGGUGAGGAAAAAGCACCCAUUUGCAUGAUUUUGUGUAUCGGAUUGUCAGAUGAUUCAGACAGUAAAGGCCAGUAA
rnacentral:lncRNA from 1 species